CAGCCGCCGUAACACAUGCAAGUCGAACGAGACCUUCGGGUCUAGUGGCGCACGGGUGCGUAACGCGUGGGAAUCUGCCCUUGGGUUCGGAAUAACAGUUAGAAAUGACUGCUAAUACCGGAUAAUGACGUAAGUCAAAAGAUUUAUCGCCCAGGGAUGAGCCCGCGUAGGAUUAGCUAGUUGGUGGGGUAAAGGCCUACCAAGGCGACGAUCCUUAGCUGGUCUGAGAGGAUGAUCAGCCACACGGGGACUGAGACACGGCCCAGACUCCUACGGGAGGCAGCAGUGGGGAAUAUUGGACAAUGGGCGAAAGCCUGAUCCAGCAAUGCCGCGUGAGUGAAGAAGGCCUUCGGGUUGUAAAGCUCCUUUACCCGGGAAGAUAAUGACUGUACCGGGAGAAUAAGCCCCGGCUAACUCCGUGCCAGCAGCCGCCGUAAAAC
rnacentral:rRNA from 1 species